rnacentral:rRNA from 1 species
CCUACGGGGGGCAGCAGUGAGGAAUAUUGGUCAAUGGGCUUACGCCUGAACCAGCCAAGUCGCGUGAGGGAAGACUGCCCUAUGGGUUGUAAACCUCUUUUGUCAGGGAGCAACGCCGGCUACGUGUAGCCGGACUGAGAGUACCUGAAGAAAAAGCAUCGGCUAACUCCGUGCCAGCAGCCGCGGUAAUACGGAGGAUGCGAGCGUUAUCCGGAUUUAUUGGGUUAAAAGGGUGCGUAGGCGGACUGCCAAGUCAGCGGUAAAAUCGCGGGGCUCAACCUCGCUCCGCCGUUGAAACUGGCGGUCUUGAGUGGGCGAGAAGUAUGCGGAAUGCGUGGUGUAGCGGUGAAAUGCAUAGAGAUCACGCAGAACUCCGAUUGCGAAGGCAGCAUACCGGCGCCCAACUGACGCUGAAGCACGAAAGCGUGGGUAUCGAACAGGAUUAGAUACCCCAGUAGUC